AUCCUUUUGGUGUAAUUGAGCAUUCUUUCCUUCCAAGUAAGAGGUCUUUAUUUAAAGAGAGGAU
rnacentral:tRNA from 1 species